UACGAAGGGUGCAAGCGUUACUCGGAAUUACUGGGCGUAAAGGGUGCGUAGGCUGUUAGUUAAGUCUGUCGUGAAAUCCCCGGGCUCAACCUGGGAAUGGCGAUGGAUACUGGCUAGCUAGAGUGUGUCAGAGGAUGGUGGAAUUCCCGGUGUAGCGGUGAAAUGCGUAGAGAUCGGGAGGAACAUCAGUGGCGAAGGCGGCCAUCUGGGACAACACUGACGCUGAAGCACGAAAGCGUGGGGAGCAAACAGG
rnacentral:rRNA from 1 species